rnacentral:piRNA from 1 species
CAAGUUGAGAAUCCUAAGGCGUCUGUGA